rnacentral:rRNA from 1 species
UACGGGGAGCAGCAGUAGGGAAUCUUCCACAAUGGGCGCAAGCCUGAUGGAGCAACACCGCGUGAGUGAAGAAGGGUUUCGGACUCGUAAAGCUCUGUUGUUAAAGAAGAACACGUAUGAGAGUAACUGUUCAUACGUUGACGGUAUUUAACCAGAAAGUCACGGCUAACUACGUGCCAGCAGCCGCGGUAAUACGUAGGUGGCAAGCGUUAUCCGGAUUUAUUGGGCGUUAAAGAGAGUGCAGGCGGUUUUCUAAGUCUGAUGUGAAAGACUUCGGCUUAACCGGAGAAGUGCAUCGGAAACUGGAUAACUUGAGUGCAGAAGAGGGUAGUGGAACUCCAUGUGUAGCGGUGGAAUGCGUAGAUAUAUGGAAGAACACCAGUGGCGAAGGCGGCUGCCUGGUCUGCAACUGACGCUGAGACUCGAAAGCAUGGGUAGCGAACAGGAUUAGAUACCCUGGUAG